rnacentral:rRNA from 4 species
AAAACGACUCUCGGCAACGGAUAUCUCGGCUCUCGCAUCGAUGAAGAACGCAGCGAAAUGCGAUACUUGGUGUGAAUUGCAGAAUCCCGUGAACCAUCGAGUCUUUGAACGCAAGUUGCGCCCAAAGCCUUCGGGCCGAGGGCACGUCUGCCUGGGUGUCACGC